rnacentral:rRNA from 1 species
AUGAACGCUAGCUACAGGCUUAACACAUGCAAGUCGAGGGGCAGCAUGGUCUUAGCUUGCUAAGGCCGAUGGCGACCGGCGCACGGGUGAGUAACACGUAUCCAACCUGCCGUCUACUCUUGGACAGCCUUCUGAAAGGAAGAUUAAUACAAGAUGGCAUCAUGAGUCCACAUGUUCACAUGAUUAAAGGUAUUCCGGUAGACGAUGGGGAUGCGUUCCAUUAGAUAGUAGGCGGGGUAACGGCCCACCUAGUCUUCGAUGGGUAGGGGUUCUGAGAGGAAGGUCCCCCACAUUGGAACUGAGACACGGUCCAAACUCCUACGGGAGGCAGCAGUGAGGAAUAUUGGUCAAUGGGCGAGAGCCUGAACCAGCCAAGUAGCGUGAAGGAUGACUGCCCUAUGGGUUGUAAACUUCUUUUAUAAAGGAAUAAAGUCGGGUAUGGAUACCCGUUUGCAUGUACUUUAUGAAUAAGGAUCGGCUAACUCCGUGCCAGCAGCCGCGGUAAUACGGAGGAUCCGAGCGUUAUCCGGAUUUAUUGGGUUUAAAGGGAGCGUAGAUGGAUGUUUAAGUCAGUUGUGAAAGUUUGCGGCUCAACCGUAAAAUUGCAGUUGAUACUGGAUAUCUUGAGUGCAGUUGAGGCAGGCGGAAUUCGUGGUGUAGCGGUGAAAUGCUUAGAUAUCACGAAGAACUCCGAUUGCGAAGGCAGCCUGCUAAGCUGCAACUGACAUUGAGGCUCGAAAGUGUGGGUAUCAAACAGGAUUAGAUACCCUGGUAGUCCACACGGUAAACGAUGAAUACUCGCUGUUUGCGAUAUACAGCAAGCGGCCAAGCGAAAGCGUUAAGUAUUCCACCUGGGGAGUACGCCGGCAACGGUGAAACUCAAAGGAAUUGACGGGGGCCCGCACAAGCGGAGGAACAUGUGGUUUAAUUCGAUGAUACGCGAGGAACCUUACCCGGGCUUAAAUUGCAGAUGAAUUACGGUGAAAGCCGUAAGCCGCAAGGCAUCUGUGAAGGUGCUGCAUGGUUGUCGUCAGCUCGUGCCGUGAGGUGUCGGCUUAAGUGCCAUAACGAGCGCAACCCUUGUUGUCAGUUACUAACAGGUUCCGCUGAGGACUCUGACAAGACUGCCAUCGUAAGAUGUGAGGAAGGUGGGGAUGACGUCAAAUCAGCACGGCCCUUACGUCCGGGGCUACACACGUGUUACAAUGGGGGGUACAGAGGGCCGCUACCACGCGAGUGGAUGCCAAUCCCCAAAACCUCUCUCAGUUCGGACUGGAGUCUGCAACCCGACUCCACGAAGCUGGAUUCGCUAGUAAUCGCGCAUCAGCCACGGCGCGGUGAAUACGUUCCCGGGCCUUGUACACACCGCCCGUCAAGCCAUGGGAGCCGGGGGUACCUGAAGUGCGUAACCGCGAGGAGCGCCCUAGGGUAAAACUGGUGACUGGGGCU